GAUGAACGCUGGCGGCGUGCCUAAUACAUGCAAGUCGAGCGAACGGACGAGAAGCUUGCUUCUCUGAUGUUAGCGGCGGACGGGUGAGUAACACGUGGAUAACCUACCUAUAAGACUGGGAUCACUUCGGGAAACCGUAGCUAAUACCGGAUAAUAUUUUGAACCGCAUGGUUCAAAAGUGAAAGACGGUCUUGCUGUCACUUAUAGAUGGAUCCGCGCUGCAUUAGCUAGUUGGUAAGGUAACGGCUUACCAAGGCAACGAUGCAUAGCCGACCUGAGAGGGUGAUCGGCCACACUGGAACUGAGACACGGUCCAGACUCCUACGGGAGGCAGCAGUAGGGAAUCUUCCGCAAUGGGCGAAAGCCUGACGGAGCAACGCCGCGUGAGUGAUGAAGGUCUUCGGAUCGUAAAACUCUGUUAUUAGGGAAGAACAUAUGUGUAAGUAACUGUGCACAUCUUGACGGUACCUAAUCAGAAAGCCACGGCUAACUACGUG
rnacentral:rRNA from 1 species